AAGUCGUAACAAGGUUUCCGUAGGUGAACCUGCGGAAGGAUCAUUAAUACGCUUUUGUUUGUAACAAAACAAAACGUUUUAAACCCCAAAAUUGAAAUAGUGGAAACAUAUCUUCCGGAUGCGAAUGUUGGGGAACUGAGUAACAUCGGUUCUCUGAAAAAGGGACUUCAAGCAAUUGACACUUCAGAGUAGAGCAGUGAGGUGAAACUCGAAAGAGUUUGGUUCUGAAAAACAUUUGUAUCCGGUUAUCAAAUCUGUUCUACCAAAUUAUCAACAAUAAACCCCAUGUACAACAACUUGAACUAAACAUUUUUUUGUUGUCUGCUUUGCGGCAGAUGCAAAGAAAAAACCUGAACUUAAGAACAACUCUUAACAAUGGAUAUCUUGGUUCUC
rnacentral:misc_RNA from 1 species